UAGGGAAUCUUCCGCAAUGGGCGAAAGCCUGACGGAGCAACGCCGCGUGAGUGAUGAAGGUUUUCGGAUCGUAAAACUCUGUUAUUAGGGAAGAACAAAUGUGUAUGUAACUAUGCACGUCUUGACGGUACCUAAUCAGAAAGCCACGGCUAACUACGUGCCAGCAGCCGCGGUAAUACGUAGGUGGCAAGCGUUCUCCGGAAUUAUUGGACGUAAAGCGCGCGUAGGCGGUUUUUUAAGUCUGACGUGAAAGCCCACGGCUCAACCGUGGAGGGACAUUGGAAUCUUGAAAUCUUGAGUGCAGAAGAGGAAAGUGGUAUUUCCUGUGUAGCGGUGACAUGCGCAGAGUUAUGGAGGCACACCAGUGGCGAAGGCGACUUUCUGGUCUGUAUCUGACGCUGAUGUGCGAAAGCGUGGGGAUCAAACAGG
rnacentral:rRNA from 1 species